AGCUAACCUUCGGGAACUUUUAAUUCGGGGUAGUGGUAUACAUAAAGUCUAGUCCCCAGAGGUGCGCGUAAUGAAAAGGGCUUCCACCCCAGUCGCGUCCCGAGGUGCUUUCCACGUUUUCGUGUCCCGUUUGCUCUGAGCUUAUCCUGGAGAAAACUUCAGGUAAGUCUCCGGAUAAGUCGUUGGAAAGGGGGGAGGGGGUUCACCUUCCCUGGACCCAGCGGGAAAUACCGCUUCCCCGCCCCCACCCUCACCCUCACAUACACACCCCUUCUUCGCUCCCUCCAAAUGGUUAUCACAACUGUGUACAAACUGAUACGGUGCUGAGCCGGCAAAGGGACUGGAAAUGAACGUCGCGGGGUUAUCAGCGCGGAUCUGUCAGCAGCGAGGCGCGCGGCUGCGGGUUCGUCCGCCGCAGGAGCAGUGAUAUAUGUCUCCGCUCCCUUUGGCUCACAAAAAGAUUUCUUCCGACAGACGCGACCCCAGAAGGCCGCGGAGAGAGAAUUUUAACUAGGGCAGCAGGAGUUGCUUUGUGAGGUUGCAUUUCACAUUUUUCUCCCAGCUUCGCAGUGGUUGUGAGAGGGUGCGCUGGCCUUGGGACCGCUGGGACAGAGACUCAAGGAGUGGUCCCUCCGGAGUGUGCCUUCCGUCCUCGAGCCUCCCUCCUCGUCCUCAGGAGAGUUGUUGGCUCUGGGGCGCGACCUGUCCCCAGGGCUGAUUUAUUUGGGGCGCGCCACCACACUACUCUUCGCGAUUCGAAUCCAGCCAGAAUAGAGCAGCCAAUUGGGCAGGGGGCGGAGGCUUUGUUGCUAAAUGCGAGGGGAUGUUUGGGGACCCAGUCACGCUCUGCUUCCAGAGGAGCUAUGACACCCGAGCGGGGGCCCGCAUAACGACACGCCUUGACCCCUGCAAACUUAAGCUCAUUACGCUGUCAGUUCCCCCAAAGCUCCCCGCUGCUCUAGCGACACUUGAG